rnacentral:rRNA from 1 species
CAGCAGCAGCCGCGGGAAUACGUAGGGGGCGAGCGUUGUCCGAAGUUACUGGGCGUAAAGCGCGCGUAGGCGGCUUCUUAAGUCUGAGGUGAAAGGUUCAACGCUUAACGUGAACAGUGCCUUGGAUACUGGGGACCUUGAGUGUGGGAGAGGCGAGUGGAAUGGUCGGUGUAGCGGUGAAAUGCGUAGAUAUCGAUCGGAACACCCAUGGCGAAGGCAGCUCGCUGGCCUAACACUGACGCUGAGGCGCGAAAGCGUGGGGAGCAAACAGGAUUAGAUACCCCUGUAGUCCCUGUCUCUUAUA